AUUGAACGCUGGCGGCAGGCCUAACACAUGCAAGUCGAGCCGAUGAAGGGAGCUUGCUCCUGGAUUCAGCGGCGGACGGGUGAGUAAUGCCUAGGAAUCUGCCUGGUAGUGGGGGAUAACGUCCGGAAACGGGCGCUAAUACCGCAUACGUCCUGAGGGAGAAAGUGGGGGAUCUUCGGACCUCACGCUAUCAGAUGAGCCUAGGUCGGAUUAGCUAGUUGGUGGGGUAAAGGCCUACCAAGGCGACGAUCCGUAACUGGUCUGAGAGGAUGAUCAGUCACACUGGAACUGAGACACGGUCCAGACUCCUACGGGAGGCAGCAGUGGGGAAUAUUGGACAAUGGGCGAAAGCCUGAUCCAGCCAUGCCGCGUGUGUGAAGAAGGUCUUCGGAUUGUAAAGCACUUUAAGUUGGGAGGAAGGGCAGUAAGUUAAUACCUUGCUGUUUUGACGUUACCAACAGAAUAAGCACCGGCUAACUUCGUG
rnacentral:rRNA from 1 species